rnacentral:lncRNA from 1 species
GCCUUAUAAUCAAUGAAAUUGCGGAAAUUUAAAGUUUGUAUAUUCCUAUUUUAAUUUUUCUGCAAAAUGUAAUCAGAUUUAAGUAUACACAGCCUAAAAUAAUUUAUUUUUUCUUUUAUCUUAUUUUCUGCCUUCUUGUCUCUUCACUUUUCAAUUUCGGGAUGGAAUCUCCAGUCAUUUUCCAAGAGCCCUCAUCCAGUGGCUGAUGGAAGCAGAGGCAGACACCCACAGCUAAACACUGGACUGAACUCCUGGAAUCCGUUGCAGAGAGGAGGAGUGAAGAGCAAAGAGGUGAGGACCCAGCUGGUGAAACCCACAGAAACAGAUGACCUGAACAAGGGAGAGCACAUGGACCCAAGUCUGAUGUCUGGAAGGCCAGCAUGGAACUGAUCCAGAACCCUGAAUGUGGAUGUCAAUGAAGAGGAUGAAUAUGGGAGAAGUGAAGUAAUACAGGGGAGGAUGUGAAGAGGCACAGCUAGCAAGUAUGUGCCAUCCCACAGGUAUGUCUGCAGAAGGUAUGCAGGGCAGGAUGAGUUCAUCUAUCUGCUCGGUGUCCUCCAACAACACAUCAGCUGAUUCGAAAUAUAAGGAUUAAUUUUGAAUGCUAAAUUUAAUUUCACUGAUCUGUAAGUCUACCUAUAAACAAUAUCAAAGUGUUCUAUCCACUAUAAAUUUGUCAUAUGUUUUGAAAUGAAGGAGUAUGUGCCAAGGAUUCCAAAUCUCUCGGAAUUUCAGGAGUGUUUUGAAUAUACAGACACCUCU